GGAGUUGGACGGACCGUCGCUGCGUCCCGCAAGGGACGGAGAGGAAAGUCCGGGCUCCAAUGGGCAGGACGCUGGGUAACUCCCAGGGGGAGCGAUCCCCGGAAAGCGCAACAGAAAGCAGACCGCCGGACCGGCUCUCGGGCCGUCCCGGUAAGGGUGAAACGGUGGGGCAAGAGCCCACCAGCGGCCGUGGCGACACGGUCGGCUAGGCAUACCCCGUCUGGAGCAAGACCAAAUAGGGAGGCAGGCUGGCCCAGCUAUUGCCUCCGGGUAGGUUGCUUGAGGUGGCCGGUAACGGCCAUCCUAGAGGAAUGACGGUCGCCAGCCCCGCAAGGGGCAGGAACAAAACCCGGCUUAUAGUCCGACUCCGGCU
rnacentral:RNase_P_RNA from 1 species